rnacentral:rRNA from 1 species
GACGGGGGGGGGCAAGUGUUCUUCGGAAUGACUGGGCGUAAAGGGCACGUAGGCGGUGAAUCGGGUUGAAAGUGAAAGUCGCCAAAAAGUGGCGGAAUGCUCUCGAAACCAAUUCACUUGAGUGAGACAGAGGAGAGUGGAAUUUCGUGUGUAGGGGUGAAAUCCGUAAAUAUACGAAGGAACGCCAAAAGCGAAGGCAGCUCUCUGG